GAUGAACGCUAGCGGCAGGCCUAACACAUGCAAGUCGAGGGGUAUAGUAGCAAUACUAGAGACCGGCGCACGGGUGCGUAACGCGUAUGCAAUCUACCUAUUGCUGAGGGAUAGCCCAGAGAAAUUUGGAUUAAUACCUCAUAGUAUAACAAGGAGGCAUCUUUUAGUUAUUAAAGAUUUAUCGGCAAUAGAUGAGCAUGCGUCCCAUUAGUUAGUUGGUAAGGUAACGGCUUACCAAGACGAUGAUGGGUAGGGGUCCUGAGAGGGAGAUCCCCCACACUGGUACUGAGACACGGACCAGACUCCUACGGGAGGCAGCAGUGAGGAAUAUUGGGCAAUGCUCGCGAGAGUGACCCAGCCAUGCCGCGUGCAGGAUGACGGUCCUAUGGAUUGUAAACUGCUUUUAUACGGGAAGAAACCCUUUCUUGCGAGAGAGCUUGACGGUACCGUAUGAAUAAGGAUCGGCUAACUCCGUG
rnacentral:rRNA from 1 species